rnacentral:lncRNA from 1 species
UCGCUAAAUCACUGGGCUGUGCUCAUCGGCCAUAAACAUGUCACUGCUGAACUGGGUCAUUCCUCUGCGAGCGUGCACAUCAAAGCUGGCUCUAAACAGACAGAGGCUGACCGUCAGCUCAAACCUCAUCAGGACAAAAAGGAAAAUCUGUAUUCUACGUUUUCUAACAACCACAAAAAAAAACUAAGAAUUGAUCCUGAACAGUUUCCGUGAGUUUUGUCGUCAUUCACAGGAUGCAAAUUCACUGUGAUUCCAGUGAAAAUAUUGCAAUUUUAAAAAUCCACUUCAAUGAAUUGUAACAUGUUGUUGUGGCAUUUCUCUGUUGCAGGACAUAUAUAAAAAUAAAUAUAAAAGAUUUAAAUGGACUUUUACAGUAUUUCUUUAUUCAAACCAUUGUGAAUGAAGAGAAGACGAAAAAAUACUGUCUAAAAAAGUUCGUCUGUCCGUUUUCCUCGUCUGGUACCAAACUGUACGGCUGGAGAGCUCCAACAUUGGUCACCAUUUUUGCUGCACUGGUAAUGUUAGUUUGGAGUUGUGAGGGCUGUAAGCUAGCGAGUAUUAACAAAAGGAUCAUGGGAAAUUAGGCCAGGUGUGUGCAAGCAAUCCUGCCCACAACUCAAAGGUGAAUUUCUAACAAACUACUGCCGCUCUGCAGAAACUAUGUCCAACAAAACUGCACUUUAAUUUCUUUUUUCUUUUGACUAAAACUGGGAAUGCUUUCUAAAAUAAAUCCAAAAAAUGAUCAAAGUUGGUCUUCUAACCCUUGUGCUAUCCUAGGCACUUUAACAUUGGGAGUUGGGUCAUCUAGACCCACUAGACAGUGCGCUGAACCCUUUUUUCUUCAAUGAUUUGUGAUCCUCACUGGUGUCCAUGGAUUACAUGAAAUCUUUCCACCUUUAUCCACCUUUGUCAUGGUAGGGAGAACACGUCGAUGUAAGGGUGGGGUCAUCUAAGAUAGCAUAAGGGGAACAUUUUCUUCGG